rnacentral:rRNA from 1 species
UCGAGAAUCUUCCGCAAUGGGCGAAAGCCUGACGGAGCGACGCCGCGUGUAGGAUGAAGGCCCUCGGGUUGUAAACUACUGUCACGGGUUAUGAAUGUACAUAUGUAAACAGCGUGUGUAUUGACGUAAGCCCGAAAGGAGGCACCGGCUAACUCUGUGCCAGCAGCCGCGGUAAUACAGAGGGUGCAAACGUUGUUCGGAAUUACUGGGCAUAAAGCGCGCGUAGGCGGCGACGUAAGUGUAGGGUGAAAUCCCACGGCUCACCCGUGUGAAUUGCCCCGCAUACUGCGUUGCUCGAGUGUGGUAGGGGAGAGCGGAACUCCUGGUGGAGCGGUGAAAUGCGUAGAUAUCAGGAGGAACACCGGUGGCGUAGGCGGCUCUCUGGUCCAUAACUGACGCUGAAGUGCGAAAGCUAGGGUAGCGAACGGGAUUAGAUACCCCAGUAGUCCCUGAGCGGGCUGGCAAGGCGCAU